AAGAUGAUAUAUAUCACAAUGUCGGAAUUAUUUUGCAGUUGUGCUGUCUUAUAUAAGACCAAUGGGUGUACCAGAAUUGUAUUCACCACACCAACAACCUCCAAACAUGAACAAGCUCUUUAUCGUUCUUCUUCUGGUCAGCUGUCUGACAAUGCUGCAUGCCACUGUUUAAGGCCACCAGGCGGCUAACAACUACCGCUGGAAUAAUGUUUUUGAUCGUAUGCUAUAAAAUAAAGCCUCGUCAUAUCUAA